AAAAUACUCCCUCCACCCAAAAAUAUUUGUCAUCAAAAUGGCAAAAAGGGAUGUAUCUAGAACUAAAAUACAUCUAGAUACAUCUCCUUUUAUUCAUUUUGAUGAUAAGUAUUUCCAGACGGAGGGAGUAGUUG
rfam:Triticum urartu cultivar G1812 contig41811, whole genome shotgun sequence.